rnacentral:rRNA from 1 species
GUCGAACGCUGGCGGCGUGCUUAACACAUGCAAGUCGAACGGAAAGGCCCUGCUUUUGUGGGGUGCUCGAGUGGCGAACGGGUGAGUAACACGUGAGUAACCUGCCCUUGACUUUGGGAUAACUUCAGGAAACUGGGGCUAAUACCGGAUAGGAGCUCCUGCUGCAUGGUGGGGGUUGGAAAGUUUCGGCGGUUGGGGAUGGACUCGCGGCUUAUCAGCUUGUUGGUGGGGUAGUGGCUUACCAAGGCUUUGACGGGUAGCCGGCCUGAGAGGGUGACCGGCCACAUUGGGACUGAGAUACGGCCCAGACUCCUACGGGAGGCAGCAGUGGGGAAUAUUGCACAAUGGGCGGAAGCCUGAUGCAGCAACGCCGCGUGCGGGAUGACGGCCUUCGGGUUGUAAACCGCUUUCGCCUGUGACGAAGCGUGAGUGACGGUAAUGGGUAAAGAAGCACCGGCUAACUACGUG